rnacentral:rRNA from 1 species
GACGUAGGGGGCCAGCGUUGUUCGGAAUUACUGGGUGUAAAGGGUGCGUAGGCGGGUCUUUAAGUCAGGGGUGAAAUCCUGGAGCUCAACUCCAGAACUGCCUUUGAUACUGAAGAUCUUGAGUUCGGGAGAGGUGAGUGGAACUGCGAGUGUAGAGGUGAAAUUCGUAGAUAUUCGCAAGAACACCAGUGGCGAAGGCGGCUCACUGGCCCGAUACUGACGCUGAGGCACGAAAGCGUGGGGAGCAAACAGG